rnacentral:tRNA from 1 species
GUCGCCGUAGCUCAGAAGGUCAGAGCGCGGACCUGAUAAGUCCGAGGCCGGUGGUUCGACCCCACCCGGCGACA